GAUGAACGCUGGCGGCGUGCCUAACACAUGCAAGUCGAACGGAGAUUACGGACGGAAGUUUUCGGAUGGAAGACUGUAUUCUUAGUGGCGGACGGGUGAGUAACGCGUGGGCAACCUGCCCUAUACAGGGGGAUAGCAGCUGGAAACGGCUGGUAAGACCGCAUAAGUCGGCGGAACCGCAUGGUUUUGUCGGGAAAUGAGCAAUCAGGUAUAGGAUGGGCCCGCGUCCGAUUAGCCAGUUGGCAGGGUAAAAGCCUACCAAAGCAACGAUCGGUAGCCGGACUGAGAGGUCGGACGGCCACAUUGGGACUGAGACACGGCCCAAACUCCUACGGGAGGCAGCAGUGGGGGAUAUUGCACAAUGGAGGAAACUCUGAUGCAGCGACGCCGCGUGAGUGAAGAAGUAUUUCGGUAUGUAAAGCUCUAUCAGCAGGGAAGAUGAUGACGUACCUGACUAAGAAGCCC
rnacentral:rRNA from 1 species